GCGCCGCGCGCGUGCGCG
rnacentral:miRNA from 1 species